GAUGAACGCUGGCGGCGUGCCUAAUACAUGCCAGUCGAGCGAACGGACGAGAAGCUUGCUUCUCUGAUGUUAGCGGCGGACGGGUGAGUAACACGUGGAUACCCUACCUAUAAGACUGGGAUAACUUCGGGAAACCGGAGCUAAUACCGUAUAAUAUUUUGAACCGCAUGGUUCAAAAGUGAAAGACGGUCUUGCUGUCACUUAUAGAUGGAUCCGCGCUGCAUUAGCUAGUUGGUAAGGUAACGGCUUACCAAGGCAACGAUGCAUAGCCGACGUGAGAGGGUGAUCGGCCACACUGGAACUGAGACACGGUCCAGACUCCUGCGGGAGGCAGCAGUAGGGAAUCUGCCGCAGUGGGCGAAAGCCUGACGGAGCACCGCCGCGUGAGUGAUGAAGGUCUUCGGAUCGUAAAACUCUGUUAUUAGGGAAGAACAUAUGUGUAAGUAACUGUGCACAUCGUGACGGUACCUAAUCAGAAAGCCACGGCUAACUACGUG
rnacentral:rRNA from 1 species